rnacentral:rRNA from 1 species
CAUAACGUCGCAAGACCAAAGAGGGGGACCUUCGGGCCUCUUGCCAUCGGAUGUGCCCAGAUGGGAUUAGCUAGUAGGUGGGGUAACGGCUCACCUAGGCGACGAUCCCUAGCUGGUCUGAGAGGAUGACCAGCCACACUGGAACUGAGACACGGUCCAGACUCCUACGGGAGGCAGCAGUGGGGAAUAUUGCACAAUGGGCGCAAGCCUGAUGCAGCCAUGCCGCGUGUAUGAAGAAGGCCUUCGGGUUGUAAAGUACUUUCAGCGGGGAGGAAGGGAGUAAAGUUAAUACCUUUGCUCAUUGACGUUACCCGCAGAAGAAGCACCGGCUAACUCCGUGCCAGCAGCCGCGGUAAUACGGAGGGUGCAAGCGUUAAUCGGAAUUACUGGGCGUAAAGCGCACGCAGGCGGUUUGUUAAGUCAGAUGUGAAAUCCCCGGGCUCAACCUGGGAACUGCAUCUGAUUCUGGCAAGCUUGAGUCUCGUAAAGGGGGGUAGAAUUCCA